UAAAUGAAUGUAACAGAUUACAAUGUACAAAAGGCUUACUUAACUUUAUUUUGUAAGAUAGUAAUCAUAAUCACACUAUAACACAAGCUACUGCCAUCAUACAAAUAUAAGCUUAAUACACUCUAUGAUAUAACUAAAUAAGUGUGUCAGUAUUUUACUUUUGUUUCCAAAAUAUUGGUACAGGAAAUUUCAGGAGCUGAUUUGUGUAGCAUCUUAGCAAAUUUGAGUUUUAUGUAUGUGGGGAACUAGCUUUCCUAGUCAUAAAAAUCUUCCCUUAAGAUUGAACGUAAGUUAUCAUUUUUUCUGUCAGUGACAAUUUUAGUGAUUUUGUUGAAGAUACUUCCAGAAAGGAAGCUCUGGACUUUGUUACAGCCACAUCAGUUAUGUCAACUCAAAGGCAAUUUCUGGGCCAAUUUCUUGAGUAAGGUCUGUCUGCUUACAUGAUUUAUGCAGCAAGUGCUUAUUCCAGGAUGAGAAAGGAAAGUAAAUAUGGAAGAAAAAAAGCCCACAAAGAUAAGUUUAUACGUUCUGACACAGAAAACUCUUCUGCUAUCUCAAAACUUGGAGUCUGACUUUGUCUUCAUUGCAAUCAUUUUUACAAACUUCUGGCUAUAAAGAUUUCCUUUGUGGGAGAAAUGUCAUGAUUACAAAGAAAUCCAAAUCAGUCCAAGAUCAUUUUGCCAAUUGUUUUGCUAUGCAGACAAAAUAGAAAUCUCGUGAAUCUCAGCAAUAUCUUUAAGGUGGAAAAUUCUCGGCUGGAUCAAGGUCAUAAUUCUAUGAACUCUGCUUUGGGGGCUGUUAAUUAAAAAGUCUUUGGCUAAAACCACAUUGAGAGGAAGAACUGGAAUCCAGGACUCAUCCUUCUAGCAGAGUGUGCUUAUUUGCAGAUGCCAGAGUCUGCGGUCUGUGUUCUUCACUAGGCCACCAAAUAUGUCCAGCCUUUAGCAGGAAGACGGAACAAAAUAUCCAAUACAGAGGUUAAUUUCAUCCACUUCUGACAAGACUUUCCUGUUCAGAAAAGAAGGAUUAAUAAACCACAGUCACUCACUGUCUAACCACUAGUCUGAUAGAGAAAAGGCUGGGUCCCACUGGAAUCUGAGUUCAAAAUGUGUAGAAGAUGACAGAGUGUACAUGAGUUUCUCAGCUUAUAGUCAUGAAGCAAACACAGACCUGGACAGUGGGAUAGUUUAUUUUCGGUGAGGAGAAACUGACAAAAGCUGCUCUACCGCUCUAUUGUUCCAGAGUCUAGAUCCCUCAACAGUCCAACCAGCAUCCUUGCUUGACAGAGAUGGGUGAGCAGUCACUCCUUGGCUGCAUUUCUAGGCUGGAUUGAGGCAGCAGGGAGAUGACUGUGCAGUGGGGAUACAGCCGGUGCUGGUUCUCGGGUACUUCCUGCCCAGCAGUGGGAGGAAGAUGAAAGUUUCCAUACGAGGGAUUACUUCCAUGGCAACUUACAUAUAGACAAGUUCCUAUUAUGGAGAGAUACAAUACCGAUAAAGGAAAAGAAAAGAAGAGAAAAGAAGAGAAAAGAAGAGAAAAGAAGAGAAGAGAAAGGAAGAGAAAGGAAGAGAAAGGAAGAGAAAGGAAGAGAAAAGAAAAGAAAAGAAAAGAAAAAAGAAAAGAAAAGAAAAGAAAAGAAAAGAAAAGAAAAGAAAAGAAAAGAAAAGAAAAGAAAAGAAAAGAAAAGAAAAGAAAAGAAAAGAAAAGAAAAGAAAAGAAAAGAAAAGAAAAGAAAAGAAAAGAAAAGAAAAGAAAAGAAAAGAAAAGAAAAGAAAAGAAAAGAAAAGAAAAGAAAAGAAAAGAAAAGAAAAGAAAAGAAAAGAAAAGACCAUUAUUACAGCUUGUUGUUCUCAUUUGCCUCCUUGUCAAUUACUCUGCGUAUUAUCCUUUCCCCAGCAUAUGUAAACCACCAGCAGGAACCUUUCCAUCCACAUCCAGAGGUGAAAGUAGGCAGCAAAUGCCUUGUAGUAAUUACACCUUUGGACCCUCUGUUCCCUCUGUCCUCCUGGGAAGACUGACCAGCAUAUAUUCAUUUCCUUUUCUGCUGAAAAACUGCUGAACACUAGUCACAACAAAAAAAAAAAAAAAGAAGAUAUGAUUUCUUUAGCAGUCAGAGACCAAGGAGAAAUGGAGCAGGAAACACGACUGCUAUUUUCACGUUUCUGCAUUUAAUCCAUAUAUCAGGAUUAAAAUUUUCUAUUUUCAAGAUUCCUGUUAGGUUUUUGUUCUUGUUUUUGGUUUUUUUUUCCUUAAUAAAGAUCACAGUAUUUUAUGUGAAGCAGACAUUAAUCAUAAGCAAAAUAUUUAUUCAUGAAGAAACACAUAUCUAAUUAAAGAUUUUUUGUCAGCUCCCAGAAUAUGCCAAAGUUCAUAUCUACUGCUUCAACAGACCUCAUCACAUGGCAGGGAACUUAAAAAAGAAAUACUCCUACAUGAAAUUUCACUGUGAAAAAGAAAAGAACAGUGCAGUUUCCUUUAAAAAUCAUUUUCUAUCCUCAGAAUCUGAAACCAUUUCUGCACAUCAUUCAAUCCCAACAUUCAAUCCCAGCAGGAUUUCCAAAUGGCUAUCCAGUCAGAUCUUGAGUUACCUCAUACCCAGGUAUACAGCAGUAUCACGUCUGUGCACACACUGCCAUUCCCAGUUCCCCCAUCAAGCCUCACUGAUCGUUUGUGCUUCUCAGCUGUCUAGGUAUCUGCUCUGCUGACUCCGUAGGCAAGCCAUCUGUAGAGUAAAAUGCCAGCAGAUAUGCUUGGCCUGCUCCUGCAGAACCUCUCUCUUCUCCACUGUGCAUAUUGAACCCCCACAUGGGCUCUUUGUAGCUACCCUCUGCAAAGAUAUUCAUGAAACAUACUGGGAAACCACUGAUCAAUUCUCAUUAUCUGGAAAUAUACUAGUAUUCAACAAAGACUUUAUUCUACUGUUUUCACUUUGUCCUCAUCUAAUAUCUUCCUCUAUAAUCAGUUCACUUUGAAGGGAGAUAUUUUGAAUGUUACCUUUAGACCCUUUCAGGACAGAUACAGUCAUGUUUUACUGUGUGGUAUAGUCCUUCCCAAGGCCUCACAUUCUGUUCAUGGCCUGUACAUGUUGACAAGGAAUUGUUCUAUGGAGAGUUUUCAUGUAGGCAACUCACCUACAUAACAAAGCUCAUCAUAUGUCAGGUUACAAAAUGAAAAUCUUUUCUAAAUUAUUGUGAAAGAUAUUAAUUUAGAGGUGUUUAAAAAUGUGUUUUGCCUGACACCAAAAUUGUUUUCCGUGUUGUGUUCAAAAAUAUCUAAUUCCUUAUGAUCUGGAAGUUCUAACCAGAAAAAAAGAUUUCCUCAUAAGACUUGUAAUUUUUAAUAAAUGUUUCCAAUUUCUCAUGCAAACACAUGGAGUAAAUAACAAUUAAUAUGAAUUUAGACAAAAACAUGGGGGAAAAACUGAAGGAUAUUAUUCACGUAAUUGAAUCACUUUUUCCAUAAUGUUCUCUAAUGUUUUUCAAAAAGGAAUGUCCUUCUUUUUCCUUUCUUUUCUUUUUCUGUGAUUCCUGGUGGUAGAAAGCUAAAAGGAGUAUGAUACUGAAAAUCUCAUUCCUGCAUAUUUACCAUUUUAUGACUGAAAAUGUUAACAACACUUGGUAUGCAUGAACCUGAGAACCUACUUCAUGAAUUUUUUCAUUUUUUUCUAUAUGUCAGGCACUCCACCCAGUUGUAACUCUAUGUUGAAAAUGAUGACCAAGAUCUAAAUUUUGGGGAACAUGCUCUCUGUUCAAACCUGAUGUAAGAAAUUCAAAGAAUUUCAAAACCAUAUUUCAGAAGAAUUUAUGUUUCUACAAGCAGUGGUAAUAAUAGUGAAUAGUUAUUAAUUAUAACAAUAAUUCUGAAUGCAUUGUAAAUAGUGUGUGGUUGGCCUUCACAACAGCUCUGUAAUGAUGUGUACAUGGCAGUGAUAGAAAGAACUAUGGUGAGGAGCGUUAUAUAUAAACACUGUAGGAAAUACUAUAUUAUAUUAUAUUAUAUUAUAUUAUAUUAUAUUAUAUUAUAUUAUAUUAUAUUAUAUUAUAUUGUAUUGUAUUGUAUUGUAUCAUAUUAUUAUAUUUAUAUACUGCAAGAGAAUAAAUGUACAGAAAGACAAUUUCAUCUAACCAUAGCCUCAGUGCCACCUGAGAUGUCUGAAUCCAACAUCUGCUUCACACACAACCCCUUUGCCAGUGGGCCACUAGUCAAUAAAGUCCCCUGUAUGCCUACAUCUCUGCUGCAAUAACCUACUUCAGUUUCUGCAGCACUAAGCAGCUAAGCACCAGGUAUCACAUAAAAGCUCCUCAAACCACAUGUCCUCCUCUAAUCUUGACUCUGUUGUCUGACCCAUGCCAACAACUGGGCCUCAUCCUAACAAAGGCAUGGAGUCAUAAAAUAUAUGGGUCAUAAAGGGAGGAUCCUCCAGGGAGAUCUGUUGCUAUCUGCAGAAACCCCUGGAGUGGUAAGUCUGGGCUGGUGUGUCAUUCAUGUACCCUCAAGGACAGUACAAUGUGCUUCAAGAAGGCCAGAAAUAACAUCCAUAUGAAUAUUCCCAGAGGUUAGUGUCUCCAAAAGUUAACACUCAAAGGUAAAGCCUUCUUCCCUAGAGGAGAAAAGAUGCUCAUACACAGACACUGAAUCUUUCUACUCUAAUUUAUUUUCAUUAUAAACCUCAUCUGAAGACUGAUUUUUUUCAAAGAAACAUCAGAAAAUGUCAUCUUGAAAAUCUGAUUUUUCAAGAUGACAAAGCUGUCUUCUGGUAGGAAUUGUUUUCUGUGUUUUAAAACCAUAUCUAUGAGUAGGAAUUUGCAUCAUGAAAAUAAAAAUCUGUUUUGCCAAUUGUAAUAAUGCCU
ensembl:lncRNA